rnacentral:rRNA from 1 species
CAGAGGUCUCGAGCGUUGUUCGGAUUCAUUGGGCGUAAAGGGUGCGUAGGUGGCGCCGUAAGUCGGGUGUGAAAUUUCGGAGCUUAACUUCGAAACUGCAUUCGAUACUGCGGUGCUUGAGGACUGGAGAGGAGACUGGAAUUCAUGGUGUAGCAGUGAAAUGCGUAGAGAUCAUGAGGAAGACCAGUGGCGAAGGCGGGUCUCUGGACAGUUCCUGACACUGAGGCACGAAGGCCAGGGGAGCAAACGGGAUUAGAUACCCCGGUAGUCCUGGCAGUAAACGGUGCACGUUUGGUGUGGGGGGAUUCGACCCCUUCCGCGCCGGAGCUAACGCGUUAAACGUGCCGCCUGGGGAGUACGGUCGCAAGAUUA